UUCUCCCUACUUUUGGAUUAGUCAUGUCCCUGUACUUUUAUUUCAUUUUUUGGUUCUGAGUUCUUGUUGGUGCUUUUGUUUGCCACUUGAUUUCUUCCAUUUCCUGCAACUUUUGCCUUUUCUUUUCUUUUAUUAAUUAUUAUUUUAUUUAUUUAUUUACUUAUUUAAGAUUUAUUUAUUUAUUGUUUGUAAGUACACUGUAGCUGCCUUCAGACACUCCAGAAGAGGGAGUCAGAUCUCAUUAUGGAUGGUUGUGAACCACCAUAUGGUUGCUGGGAUUUGAACUCAGGACCUUCGGAAGAGCACUCUCCAGCCCAACUUUUGCCUUUUCAUCUUCAGUGUACAUGGGAUGGGGGACGGCGGCAGGGCAACCACUCCCAAUCUUCAAAAUUAAACCUUAGUACAAGGAGAUAAGUAUGGAUCGAUUCGCAUUCUUCUACACGAUAACAACCAGUUGUGCCAGCACCAAUUGUUGAAAAUGCUGUCUUUCUUCCACUGGAUGGUUUUAGCUCCCUUGUCGAAGAUCAAGUGACCAUAGGUGUGUGGGUUCAUUUCUGGAUCUUCAAUUCUAUUCCAUUGGUCUACUUGUCUGUCUCUAUACCAGUACCAUGCAGUUUUUAUCACAAUUGCUCUGUAGUAAAGCUUUAGGUCUGGCAUGGUGAUUCCGCCAGAAGUUCUUUUAUCCUUGAGAAGACUUUUUGCUAUCCUAGGUUUUUUGUUAUUCCAGACAAAUUUGCAAAUUGCUCCUUCCAAUUCGUUGAAGAAUUGAGUUGGAAUUUUGAUGGGGAUUGCAUUGAAUCUGUAGAUUGCUUUUGGCAAGAUAGCCAUUUUUACAAUGUUGAUCCUGCCAAUCCAUGAGCAUGGGAGAUCUAAAAAAAAAAAAAAAAAAAAAAAAAAAAAAAAAAAAAAAAAUAAGUUUGUGUAGAAAACAAUCACUUAAAACAUUUUUUGUUAAUUUACUUUUAAAUAUUCUUCUGCUUUACUUUAAAAUAUUAUCAAAAUACUUAGACUGUAUAUUUUUUCCUGUUUCCAACUCCUUCCAGGUCCAUUUCCUCUCUACACAGCCAAGUUCAUGCCAUUUCUCUGUCUCCAAAAAUUAAGAACAAAAAAAUUAAAACAAAAUAAAUAAAUUAACCAAAUAAAAAAUGUUGCACAC
rnacentral:lncRNA from 1 species